GUAGUUGAAUUUCUGGGGGGCAUGUUGGGACCGCUUGAUUGCGCGUCCUUGACAAACUCUCCAUCCUUGUAGGGAGCAUGUCGGCCUUGAUUGGUUCGGCUUGUCGACCUGCAUCAUUUACUGUGAAAAAAUUAGAGUGUUUAAAGCAGGCUAUCGCUUGAAUACAUUAGCAUGGAAUAACGAGAUAGGACAUUUGGUCUAUUUUGUUGGUUGCGACCAAACGUAAUGAUUAAUGGCGACGGUUGGGGGCCUUUGUAUUGAGGUGGAAGAGGUGAAAUUCUUGGAUUUCCUCAAGACAAACUACUGCGAAAGCACUGGCCAAGAACGCUCGCGUCAAUCAAGAACGAAAGUCAGGGGAUCGAAGAGGAUUAGAUACCCUCGUAGUCUUGACCAUAAACUAUGCCGACUCAGGAUUGGUAGACGUUGUUUACGACUCUAUCAGCACUGUAUGAAAAAUCAAAGUCUUUGGGUUCCGGGGGGAGUAUGGUCGCAAGGCUGAAACUCAAAGGA
rnacentral:rRNA from 1 species